AAGUCGUAACAAGGUCUCCGUAGGUGAACCUGCGGAGGGAUCAUUAACACGUAUCCAAACGUUCUAAACCAAACCGUGCUCCUCUUUUUCCCAUAUCGAGAAGGUGUAUAUGCAAGCCACAAGAUAGAUUCGGGACCGUCAAGGUCUUGUCUACUUGCAGUACUAUCAGUCCUCCGAGACUAAACCGAUCUUGUAUGGUGUAUGAAAGCUAUCUGGUUAUCAGUGCCACCCCGGCUCGACCCGGAGCCUGGUAACCUUAUUACUCCCUAUUUUUAACCCCUUUUUAUUUUACAUAAACUACUGACUUAAUACUGUUUGGCUUGGACUUCGGUCUAGUCAACUGUGUAUACGAAACGCGAACAACUCUUAGCAACGGAUAUCUUGGUUCUC
rnacentral:misc_RNA from 1 species